rnacentral:rRNA from 1 species
GGGGGAAAAAUUAUUAAAUAAUAAUAAUAAAAUAAAUUUUAAAAUUAAAAAUAAAUAAUGGGGGUUAAAGUAUUUUUAAUAGAAAAAAUUUAAAGUUUUAUAGUUAAUUAGUAUUGUGGGGGAAAUUUGAAAUAUGUGAAAAUUAAUUAAUAAGAAAAAAAAUUUAAUUUAUUGUAUCUUGUGUAUCAGAGUUUAUUAAAUAAGUUUUUUAGGGAAAAAAAUCUCGAAUUUAAAAGAGUUAAUUAAUUAAUAAAGUUAAUGUAACAUAAUUAUUUUAAAUGAUUAAUUAGAAAUGAAAUGUUAAUCGUUUUUAAAUAUAUCUAGUUAUUUUAGAAAAAAAUUUAAUUUUAAAUUUAUAUAAUUUUAUAAUUUCAUAAUAAAAAUUAUAAAAAUUUAAAUUUAAUAUAUUAAGGGAUAAGCUUUAAAUUAAAAAUUUAUAAUAAAUUAAUAUUAAAAUUAAAAUUUUUAAAAUUUAUAUUGUUUAAAAAUUAUAAUUUAUUAUAAAAAAUUUUAAUAAAUAUAUAAAAUUUAAUAGUAAAAAUUUAAAUUUAUAUAAAAUAAUAAUUUUUAAUAAAAUAAAAUUAAUAAUAAUGAUAAAAUUAGUAUAAAUGUAAUUAAAAAUAUUAAAUAAACAUUUAAAAUUAAUAAAAAGGAAUUCGGCAAAUAAAAUAUUCACUUGUUUAUCAAAAACAUGUCUUUUUGAAUAUAAUUUAAAGUCUAAUCUGCCCACUGAUAAUUAUUAAAGGGCUGCAGUAUAAUGACUGUACAAAGGUAGCAUAAUCAAUAGUUUUUUAAUUGGAAACUUGUAUGAAAGAUUUGAUGAAAUAUAAACUGUCUCUUAAUUAUUUUUAGAAAUUUAUUUUUUAGUUAAAAAGCUAAAGUAAUUUUAAAAGACGAGAAGACCCUAUAGAGUUUUAUAAUUAAUUUUAUUUUAAAAUUAUAUUAAAGUUUUUAUUAAAAUAAAAUUAAUUAUUGUAUUGGGGUGAUAGAAAAAUUAAAAAAACUUUUUUUAAAAAUUAAACAUAAAUAAAUGAAUAAAUGAUCCAUUAAUAAUGAUUAUAAGAAAAAAUUACCUUAGGGAUAACAGCGUAAUAUUUUUUUUUAGUUCAUAUAAAAAAAAAAGAUUGCGACCUCGAUGUUGGAUUAAGAUAAAAUUUAAAUGCAAAAGCUUAAAAUUUUGAUCUGUUCGAUCAUUAAAAUCUUACAUGAUCUGAGUUCAAACCGGUGUAAGCCAGGUUGGUUUCUAUCUUUAAAUAAUAAUAAUAUUUUA